GAUGAACGCUGGCGGCGUGCUUAACACAUGCAAGUCGAACGGAGUUUACAUGUGAGCGGAGGGUGCUUGCACUUAACAAUCUUUUGUAAACUUAGUGGCGGACGGGUGAGUAACGCGUGGGUAACCUGCCGUAUGCAGGGGGACAACAGUUGGAAACGACUGCUAAUACCGCAUAAGCGCACAGUACUGCAUGGUACGGUGUGAAAGGAUUUAUCGGCAUACGAUGGACCCGCGUCUGAUUAGCUAGUUGGUGAGGUAACGGCUCACCAAGGCGACGAUCAGUAGCCGGCCUGAGAGGGUGGACGGCCACAUUGGGACUGAGACACCGGCCCAA
rnacentral:rRNA from 1 species